CCUACGGGAGGCAGCAGUGAGGAAUAUUGGUCAAUGGCCGGGAGGCUGAACCAGCCAAGUCGCGUGAGGGAAGACGGCCCUACGGGUUGUAAACCUCUUUUGUCAGGGAGCAAGGUGCAGGUCGGGACCUGCUGUGAGAGUACCUGAAGAAAAAGCAUCGGCUAACUCCGUGCCAGCAGCCGCGGGAAUAUGGAGGAUGCGAGCGUUAUCCGGAUUUAUUGGGUUAAAAGGGUGCGCAGGCGGAGGCAAAAGUCAGCGGUAAAAUCGCGGGGCUCAACCCCGCCCCGCCGUUGAAACUGUGUCCCUUGAGUGCGCGAAGGGUAGGCGGAAUUCGUGGUGUAGCGGUGAAAUGCUUAGAUAUGUCGAAGAACCCCGAUUGCGAAGGCAGCUUACUAAACUGUGACUGACAUUGAUGCUCGAAAGUGUGGGUAUCAAACAGGAUUAGAUACCCCAGUAGUC
rnacentral:rRNA from 1 species